rnacentral:sRNA from 1 species
UACAACAAUGGAGCUGCCAAUCAAAAGUGGCAUUACAUGAAAAAUAUAAAAGCACUUGUGGCCUUUCAUAGCACUGCCUUGGAUAAGGAAAUUACAUCAGCAAAUUAUGCUGGUGUCUGUACAUCAUCUGUGAUUAAAGAAGAAAACAUUGAUCAACCAGGAUACUGUUACCUCUCACCUGAUGGAAAGAGAAAAACUAUGCUCUGCUUGGCUUGUGGACAAUCCAUGAGAACAGAGAAAGGACUGAAACAAUUGCUUCCAGGGGUUCCAUUCCUCUGUAUUUCAGGCACCAAGACUCAGAAGCCCUUCUUACAAGGGCCCUUCAAGGUCAUCAGUGUGGCUGAGGUAUGUAAUGAUCUGAGCUCUGCUAAUGCAUGUAUGGCAACAAUUUGGAAACUUUGAUGCAUUCAUUAUCUGCCUUGCACUCAAGUUCAUCUCCACUCAUCCAAUUCAUCUUCCUCAGAUGCACCUUUACCAUUCUACCUGCAUUGAUUUCCUUUUCCCCAUUGUAAUUUAAAAUGCAUUGUCUAUUAAUAGUUCAAUAGACUCUUUGAAGUUAAUUGGGCACUU